AGGCACUGUGCUGAGUGCUUUACAAAUAUGUGAUACAACCCUGGGAAAGUGGUGCUUUUAUUACCAUUUUAAGUUGAGAAAGAGAUAAAAAUAAAGAUGACUUCAAAGAUUAUUUCCAGUUCAAAAUCUAUGAUGGGGUGACAUGUAGAAGACAGAAGGACACAAUUAAAUUUAUUCUCUUGUUGGAGUUUUGGUAGGUUUUGAUUGAAGGACGGUGGCUUACCCCUAAAUUGGUACCUUUGUUAAGAGGGAAAAUGCUACCAGUACCAAACUUGGAUAAUUAUCCCUAUUAUUUGAGAUGUAACCUAGUGUAAAGGGUAGAAUACUGUUCAUAGAAUAAAAAUAGACCUCAGACCAGACCUCUCACUAAUUUUGUGAUCUUGGACCGUAAGAGAAGUUGCUUUACUCAUUUUACAAAUAACUCACAUAAUCAUUUGCUGACCACCACGUGCUAGGCAUUGGGAAUACAAAACAAAAAUAAAGCUCUUCUUGCCCUAGAAGAGCAUUUUUUUGGGAAGGAUUAUUUGUAAAUGUGUAAGUGUAUACAAGGUAAUAUCUGGAGGGGUAAAAUAGGCAUUUGUCAGUACCUAUCGAUUUCACAAGUUGCUCUGAGAAUCAAAUGGGAUAAUAUAUGGAAAAGGGCCUUAAACUUGAAACUGCUGUAAGACUAUAAGAUAUUAAGUACUGAAUGUAAUAGUUACAUCAACAUGACUUUCUGAUUCUUCCCAAAUGUCAAACCAAUGAAACCACUUUUCCUCCUACUUCGACACCUUAAGUAGCUUAGUCUUACCUAUCUCUUCCUGUUGUUAAAAUUGAAGCAUUGUAACUCCUAGGAGCUUCUGUCUAAUGAGCACAAAGCAAGACAAUUCUAACAAAAAAAAAAAAAAUAGAAUUUGAACCUCAAUUAUAUUUUGUGUUGUUUUAUGAACAUUAACAACCUUCUAGCUACCAAUGAAAUUCUCAGAUUGAUGAUGUUGAGGAAAGGUAUAAUAGUAGUUACUCCUGGAAAUUGAUAUAGAAAACAAACAUUGGAAUUUAAAAUUUUAGUACCAACUUUCUGUAGCCUCUAAAAGAGGCAACAUACUAGCAUGAAGUUACAAUGUUCUUAAAUAUAUCUAGACCUUCUUGUAUUUUUUUUGUAAAUAAUAAUGACCACUACAUUCAACGUAAUUCCAUUGAGGUAUGACUACAAAACUUGAACUGUAACCAUUGUGUAGAUUAGAAGCUUUUUGCAUUCUUUUUAGCUAUCCCAUCCAAAGCAUUUGCCCAUAUGUAUUCUUGCUUAAAGUUUAUGUCCUAAAGCCUCUAUUGCUUACCUCAGAGAGGAAUGUGACAUAAUGGUUAUAGAAUCAGACUCAGAAUCGGGAAGAAAGGUUAAGGUAUUGCCUCAGACCCACACAUGCUGGUUUUGUGACCUUGGCCUAGGCACUUAACCUUUUAGCUUCUGAGGCAACUCUUAAAACUAAAAAUUGCUGAAGAUUUGCUGAUCUGCAUAUUUGCAUUGGUAGAGAAUUUCCUCUAUAAAGAAGAUUCAGAUAAAAAAAAAAUCGGUGAAGCUGUCAACAGUUGUUAUAUCUAAGUGUGGCAUGUGGUGAUAUUUCUUGUGUCACUCAACGGCUUUCAGAAAUAUAGUUUUGAAUAUUUAAAAUAGUAGUGCUUUAGCAAUUAUAUUGAUAUUUGUCUAUAAGUGAAAAAAGCACUUAAUUCAGCACCUAUCAAUAUGAAAUUGGCUGUGUGGUGAGCCUAUAUCUCACCACUAAGAGCUGAAUAGGGCCACCAUUUUAUAGAAGCAUAACAUUAGGUUGCAUUAAUCCCAUAUUACAGAUUUUUUUCUUAAUCAUUGUUAGUCUUUUUGACCCAAAAUCUAUUUGAUGUACUUUCAGAAUUUUAUGCAAUACAUUUAUUCCUGAAAUGUGUGCAUUAAGUAAGUAACAAAGCAUUCCUCUCAAAGUUUUCCUCUGUUGUUUCUUCAAGUAUAGAACUGACUCUUGGGUCUUAGGAUAUCUACCAGCUGAACAUAGGUUCUAGUAGAUCUGAUCAAACUAAAAAGUUUCUCCAAGUUUAGUCUCUCAUCAGAGUAUGAGGCCAUUUAAAUUCAGAGUACUUUGUCACCAUCAUGCCUUUUUCUCUUUUCAGCAAUAGCAGCUGGAAGGAUUGUAAUCUCUGAUGAUAGGCUACAAAUUUUGAUUACAAUAAAUAUCCAUAACUGCUUUUUUAAUCAAUGAAGAUUUUCAUAUCAGGAUGUUUAAAGUAGAUGUCUCCUUUAUGAUUCCCAUUAAGUACCUUUGUUUUUUAUUUUUUAUGGAUUAUCACUUUUAUCACUAAAAACUUCCUUAAAGCCUAAGGUGGCUAAAAUAACCCUGAUUUUUUUAAAAGCUAAAUAGUCAAAAGGCAGGAAGUGUCAAAGACUUCUAUUACGGGUCCAGUAUCAAACUAUCAUCAGAAGACCAACCUACUGAAGUUUGGAGAGGUUCAGCAUCAGAAAGAUAUCCUCUACAUGCUUUCCCCUUCCCUCUCCCCAAUACCUCCUGGAGGCUGUCUACAUCUAGUAGUGGAAUAGUUGAUAGUCAUUUGACAUUUUAAAGUUUAUCACCACCUAGUGGCAGAAUUGUAUUUUAAACCAUUAUGCAGUAGCUUUCGAACUUUUUGCAGGAGCCUUUUACUUUAAGAGUUUGAAAAUUUUGUUAUAAAAUCUUACAUUUUUUUUAUUGCUAUCAAAUAGCAUAAUACAGGUUUGAAAGACCCUUUUUAAAAUUGUAUAACUGCUUUAGCUAACUUUCAAAAGAACAUGUUCCCAGCGUGUUGGCAGAGAAAAUGAGAUAAUUUGGGAAAGGUGAAGAUGAAGAUACCUUAGAUACCUUCAAGACCAUUAAGUUAAGUACCCUUAAAAUAUUUUUACAGUCAAAGGUUCUGAUAAAGGCCUCAUUUCCAAAAUAUAUAGAGAAUUAGCUCUAAUUUAUAAAAAAUCAAGCCAUUCUCCAAUUGAAAAAUGGUCAAAGGAUAUGAACAGACAAUUCUCAGAUGAAGAAAUUGAAACUAUUUCUAGUCAUAUGAAAAGAUGCUCCAAGUCAUUAUUAAUCAGAGAAAUGCAAAUUAAGACAACUCUAAGAUACCACUACACACCUGUCAGAUUGGCUAAGAUGACAGGAAAAAAUAAUGAUGAUUGUUGG
ensembl:lncRNA